rnacentral:rRNA from 1 species
AGCUACAGGCUUAACACAUGCAAGUCGAGGGGCAGCGGGAUUGAAGCUUGCUUCAAUUGCCGGCGACCGGCGCACGGGUGAGUAACGCGUAUCCAACCUUCCGUACACUCAGGGAUAGCCUUUCGAAAGAAAGAUUAAUACCUGAUGGUAUGAUGAGAUUGCAUGAUAGCAUCAUUAAAGAUUUAUCGGUGUACGAUGGGGAUGCGUUCCAUUAGGUAGUAGGCGGGGUAACGGCCCACCUAGCCAACGAUGGAUAGGGGUUCUGAGAGGAAGGUCCCCCACAUUGGAACUGAGACACGGUCCAAACUCCUACGGGAGGCAGCAGUGAGGAAUAUUGGUCAAUGGACGAGAGUCUGAACCGGCCAAGUAGCGUGAAGGAUGAAGGUCCUACGGAUUGUAAACUUCUUUUAUAAGGGAAUAAACCCUCCCACGUGUGGGAGCUUGUAUGUACCUUAUGAAUAAGCAUCGGCUAACUCCGUGCCAGCAGCCGCGGUAAUACGGAGGAUGCGAGCGUUAUCCGGAUUUAUUGGGUUUAAAGGGAGCGCAGACGGGUCGUUAAGUCAGCUGUGAAAGUUUGGGGCUCAACCUUAAAAUUGCAGUUGAUACUGGCGUCCUUGAGUGCGGUUGAGGUGUGCGGAAUUCGUGGUGUAGCGGUGAAAUGCUUAGAUAUCACGAAGAACUCCGAUUGCGAAGGCAGCACACUAAUCCGUAACUGACGUUCAUGCUCGAAAGUGUGGGUAUCAAACAGGAUUAGAUACCCUGGUAGUCCACACGGUAAACGAUGGAUACUCGCUGUUGGCGAUAUACUGUCAGCGGCUUAGCGAAAGCGUUAAGUAUCCCACCUGGGGAG